CGGCGGACGGGUGAGUAACGCGUGGGUAACCUGCCUCAUACAGGGGGAUAACAGUUGGAAACGGCUGCUAAUACCGCAUAAGCGCACAGUACCGCAUGGUACGGUGUGAAAAACUCCGGUGGUAUGAGAUGGACCCGCGUCUGAUUAGCCAGUUGGCGGGGUGACGGCCCACCAAAGCGACGAUCAGUAGCCGGCCUGAGAGGGUGAACGGCCACAUUGGGACUGAGACACGGCCCAA
rnacentral:rRNA from 1 species